ACGUCGGUAGUGCAAUUGGCUGAGCACGCGCCCCAGUAAAGGUCGAAAUGCGGGUUCAGGUCCCGCCUGAAGCC